GCAAGUAUGUCGUAAUUGGUAGCCGAACAGUUCUUAGGAAACUGUGGUUUAUAACCGUGUGGGUUCAAGUCCCACUACUUGUA
rnacentral:tRNA from 2 species